GCGUUAAUCGGAUUUACUGGGCGUAAAGCGCGCGUAGGUGGCUAAUUAAGUCAAAUGUGAAAUCCCCGAGCUUAACUUGGGAAUUGCAUUCGAUACUGGUUAGCUAGAGUAUGGGAGAGGAUGGUAGAAUUCCAGGUGUAGCGGUGAAAUGCGUAGAGAUCUGGAGGAAUACCGAUGGCGAAGGCAGCCAUCUGGCCUAAUACUGACACUGAGGUGCGAAAGCAUGGGGAGCAAACAGKAUUAGAUACCCUGGUAGUCCAUGCCGUAAACGAUGUCUACUAGCCGUUGGGGCCCUUNAGGCUUUAGUGGCGCAGCUAACGCGAUAAGYAGAYCGCCUGGGGAGUACGGUCGCAAGACUAAAACUCAAAUGAAUUGACGNNNGCCCGCACAAGCGGUGGAGCAUGUG
rnacentral:rRNA from 1 species